ACCUACCACCCGUACACUGCAGUUCCUGCGCGCUGUUCACUCCUGGCUCAAGAUGGCUCGCUUACGUUUUGUCGGCU
rnacentral:sRNA from 1 species